GAUGAAGAACGCAGCGAAAUGCGAUACGUAAUGUGAAUUGCAGAAUUCAGUGAAUCAUCGAGUCUUUGAACGCACAUUGCGCCCCCUGGUAUUCCGGGGGGCAUGCCUGUCCGAGCGUCAUUGCUGCCCUCAAGCACGGCUUGUGUGUUGGGCCUCCGUCCUCCUCCCGGGGGACGGGCCCGAAAGGCAGCGGCGGCACCGCGUCCGGUCCUCGAGCGUAUGGGGCUUCGUCACCCGCUCUUGUAGGCCUGGCCGGCGCUUGCCGACACAUCAAUCUUUUUUCCAGGUUGACCUCGGAUCAGGUAGGGAUACCCGCUGAACUUAAGCAUAUCAAUAAGCGGAGGA
rnacentral:misc_RNA from 1 species